rnacentral:lncRNA from 1 species
GUCUUCUCUCUGAUAUAGCUGGUGUCAACACUUCUUCUCACCGCUGGUUUAUCUCAUUUAAAACUGCAGCGCCUGGCCUCCCUGAGGACUUUCAGCAAGGCUUGGGCAAUUGUUGAGCUUUGCUGCAGACUAAAAAACUUUGAACCACUUCAAAUGGAAAGAAAAAUACCAUAAUUCUACCCAAACCAUACCUUGAUGGCUCUGGCUUUCUUAAGGAAGAGGUAAGUUUGCAUGUUUCCAAUAACAGUCUGAGAAAAGAAGGCAUCUCUGCUCCAAG